UUUGAAGGCUUUUUCAGGACAGACUGGGCAGCUCCGUGUCCCUCGGGCCGCUCUCCUCUCGGCCGGGCCAUGGCGGCCAGUGCGGUCGCGUGCAUGGUGGACAAGCACGCAGACGCCGCCGUGCCGUCCCUUGUUCCCUGACCACGCCUCCAGCCCGUAUCUCUGGAAGGACAUGAGCGCUGGGUCGUGCACAAGCCCAGUGAGCAGGUGCAGAGUCGGUUUAUGGAGCCCACCGGGCUGGCCCCCCAGGGCUGGAAGGCGGGUCAGGGUAGGAAUGCCCCUCGGCUGCCCUCCCAGGGCCUCAGCUCCCUGGGGGAUGGUGAGGACGAGUAAGCCAGCACACGGUGGCUGCAGUGACAGUGACGUGAGGAUUGUUGGAGAAGGACCUGAAGUCUUGCGGAGAUGGCAGUUUUCGUGGAACAAUGAUGUUUUGCUGCAAGGACUAGUGGGGAGGACAGUCCUGGCAUUUACAGCUAUAAAUUUCCACCUCGGACCUACUUUAGCUGCACCUCAUAAGUUUGGGAAUCAACUGUGUCCCGUGAUGUCUUCAGUUUGAACAGACAGAUAAUCCGAAAGAGAUUACUGCCCCUCGGCUCACCGGCACAGGCGAUGGCAGCUCAUAUGAAGCGCAGCACGUCCCCAGACGCACUGCACCCCGACCACAGGCCCACGGGGAGCUGACGGCGGCACCUGUCUGCUUGGCAGGUGACGAUGCUUGGCCCACAGUGAACACUUCUGCCUGAGAAUAGGGAGGUGUAAAGUGAUUCAGCAUACUCCAGGCACGAGUGUCUCUCCUUUGUCCUUUCAAUGAUGAAGUGCUGGCAGCUUGGGAGUAAACAGCAGCACUGGGGAGAAACGGGCCUUUUCUUUUAUAAAAGAUAAACCCGAAUGCGACGGAUGCUGUUUGCCCGGGUCAGCGAGGCGUCCACGCUAAGCUGAUUAGCUCUGGGCAAAGAAGAAAGACAAACACUGGUUUGAAGGUCGCCCUCAUCUGACUGCUCACAAAUGUUCCAGCUCCAGACAAGCCCUCCGCCUCUGCUGCCUCCGCCUGCUCCCUCCACCCGCUGCCAGCAAGCGGGUCUCUCCCCAGAAUGAGGCCGGGGGCAUGGAUACAGGACACACAGCAGGACGCCCUGCCCCGCCAGCCCUGACCCGGGCAGCCCAGGGAGGGCCUGGGGAGCUGGGACUGGCAGGCUUGGCUGGACGUCACCCUGGGCACUGGGGCUGUGGUCACCAGCCCCUCUGCACACGGAGCUGGUGCAGAAGGCACCCGGCUGGCCUAGGGAGGGGCUGGGAAGGGGCUGGAAGAGAAGCCCUUGCAGUUUUUGGUUUCGCUCUUAAUUGCUGAGAGAUUUCUGAAAACCUGUAUCUCCUCAUAUACUUUUAGUCUAGAACUAAAUGUUUUGAAUUUAUGCUUUUACAAAGGAUUCCAUUUCUGGUCUAUUGUGAACACUGAAGUUUUAAAAUAAACCCUCGCAUUCUUCCUUUACACGCACGCAGUGGCAACGUGGUCAGUGUUGGCUCCAGCCUCCCAGGGCACCUGUGCCACACACCCCUGUCCGCUCCCCAAGUGCCUGCACCCCACGCAUCCCAUGCUCCCAGGUUUCCCCGUGUCCCCACAGACCCCAUGAAAUGUGUCUCGCAGCCCACCCCACCCUGCACCCCAAUGCCAGAGCCACCUGAGUCCUCCUCCAGGCAUGGAAGAACUCUGAGUUCACCAGGAUCCAGUGCUGGAAAGAUGGAUGGAUACCUCCACCUUCCAGGUGGCACCAUCCACCUUCCACCAUCUACCUUCCACCAUCCACCAUCCACCUUCCACCAUCCACCUUCCACCAUCCACCUUCCACCUUCCACCAUCCACCUUCCACCAUCCACCUUCCACCAUCCACCAUCCACCUUCCACCUUCCACCAUCCACCUUCCACUUUCUUCCCUCUUUCUUCACUCAUUCCCCUUCUACAUUCCUCUGUGAUCAAGUCUUUAAUUACUAAUAAUAUCUCCUGAAUUACUUAUUUUCUCAAGUACUCUCGGUUUACAAUUUUUCUAACAAAAUAAAUAUGCAACAAACAUUGAUAGGUAACUAUUACACAGGAGAGCAAAAUUUCAGUGAAAAUACAUCUCUCAAUGAGAUUAGUAAGGCUGUUUUUCCAACCUGAUGGGUCCAUACGCAAGACUCAGGAGCACUUGGCCACAGUGAGACACACUUCAGCCGCCGUUCUAUUUCUAAUCUUGUUUUUAUAGCUGUAAAUUCUAGGACACCUUGCAGCAAUAUGUAGAUAGGGAGGCACAUUAUAGCAAUGUCCCUCAGUUGUUCUUGAACUCCUAAGUUAUAUCCCUCAAAUCACAAGGUGAUCUGAAACAAAAAAUUAAAAAUUAUCUUAAUCCUUUAUCCAUUGUCAAUUCAAUUGGGCUUUCAUUCAAAUCCUUUCGAGGCAAAGGAUCAGAAAGUGUUUGACUUGUAAAAGGAUUUGUUAUCCGGGUUCUCGAUUUCUGGAGCACUUACUGGGGAGUCCUCACCUCAACUUAUCAAGG
ensembl:lncRNA